AUUGAACGCUGGCGGCAUGCUUUACACAUGCAAGUCGAACGGCAGCGCGGGCUUCGGCCUGGCGGCGAGUGGCGAACGGGUGAGUAAUGCAUCGGAACGUGCCCAGUCGUGGGGGAUAGCCCGGCGAAAGCCGGAUUAAUACCGCAUACGACCUGAGGGUGAAAGCGGGGGACCGAAAGGCCUCGCGCUAUUUGCGCUGCCGAUGUCGGAUUAGCUAGUUGGUGGGGUAAAGGCUUACCAAGGCGACGAUCCGUAGCUGGUCUGAGAGGCCGACCAGCCACACUGGAACUGAGACACGGCCCAGACUCCUACGGGAGGCAGCAGUGGGGAAUUUUGGACAAUGGGGGCAACCCUGAUCCAGCCAUGCCGCGUGCGGGAAGAAGGCCUUCGGGUUGUAAACCGCUUUUGUUCGGGAAGAAAUCCUCUGGGCUAAUACCCCGGGGGGAUGACGGUACCGGAAGAAUAAGCACCGGCUAACUACGUG
rnacentral:rRNA from 1 species